rnacentral:rRNA from 1 species
UGCCAGCAGCCGCGGUAAUACGUACUGCGCGAACGUUAUUCGGAAUCACUGGGCUUACAGGGUGCGUAGGCGGUUCGCCAGGUCAGAUGUGAAAUCCCACAGCUCAACUGUGGAACUGCAUUUGAAACCUGCGAACUUGAGUGAACUAGAGGCAUACGGAACUUCAGGUGGAGCGGUGAAAUGUGUUGAGAUCUGAAGGAACACCAGAGGCGAAGGCGGUAUGCUGGAGUUUGUCUGACGCUGAGGCACGAAAGCCAGGGGAGCGAACGGGAUUAGAUA